rnacentral:misc_RNA from 1 species
GAAAUGCGAUAAGUAAUGUGAAUUGCAGAAUUCAGUGAAUCAUCGAAUCUUUGAACGCACAUUGCGCCCGCCAGUAUUCUGGCGGGCAUGCCUGUCCGAGCGUCAUUUCAACCAUCAAGCCCCCGGGCUUGUGUUGGGGACCUGCGGCUGCCCGCAGGCCCUGAAAACCAGUGGCGGGCUUGCUGUCACACCGAGCGUAGUAGCAAUCACCUCGCUCAGGGCGUGCUGCGGGUUCCGGCCGUUAAACAGCCUUACAAAACCCAAGGUUGACCUCGGAUCAGGUAGGAAGACCCGCUGAACUUAAGC